rnacentral:rRNA from 1 species
GACGAACGCUGGCGGCGUGCCUAAUACAUGCAAGUUGAGCGCUGAAGGUUGGUACUUGUACCAACUGGAUGAGCAGCGAACGGGUGAGUAACGCGUGGGGAAUCUGCCUUUGAGCGGGGGACAACAUUUGGAAACGAAUGCUAAUACCGCAUAAAAACUUUAAACACAAGUUUUAAGUUUGAAAGAUGCAAUUGCAUCACUCAAAGAUGAUCCCGCGUUGUAUUAGCUAGUUGGUGAGGUAAAGGCUCACCAAGGCGAUGAUACAUAGCCGACCUGAGAGGGUGAUCGGCCACAUUGGGACUGAGACACGGCCCAAACUCCUACGGGAGGAAGCAGUAGGGAAUCUUCGGCAAUGGACGAAAGUCUGACCGAGCAACGCCGCGUGAGGGAAGAAGGGUUUCGGAUCGUAAAACUCUGUUGGUAGAGAAGAACGUUGGUGAGAGUGGAAAGCUCAUCAAGUGACGGUAACUACUCAGAAAGGGACGGCUAACUACGUG